UACGAAGGGGGCUAGCGUUGCUCGGAAUCACUGGGCGUAAAGCGCACGUAGGCGGCUUCUUAAGUCAGGGGUGAAAUCCUGGAGCUCAACUCCAGAACUGCCUUUGAUACUGAAGAUCUUGAGUUCGGGAGAGGUGAGUGGAACUGCGAGUGUAGAGGUGAAAUUCGUAGAUAUUCGCAAGAACACCAGUGGCGAAGGCGGCUUACUGGUCCGGUUCUGACGCUGAGGCGCGAAAGCGUGGGGAGCAAACAGG
rnacentral:rRNA from 1 species